rnacentral:rRNA from 1 species
GUAGGCGGCUUGUCACGUCGGUUGUGAAAGCCCGGGGCUUAACCCCGGGUCUGCAGUCGAUACGGGCAGGCUAGAGUGUGGUAGGGGAGAUCGGAAUUCCUGGUGUAGCGGUGAAAUGCGCAGAUAUCAGGAGGAACACCGGUGGCGAAGGCGGAUCUCUGGGCCAUUACUGACGCUGAGGAGCGAAAGCGUGGGGAGCGAACAGGAUUAGAUACCCUGGUAGUCCACGCCGUAAACGGUGGGAACUAGGUGUUGGCGACAUUCCACGUCGUCGGUGCCGCAGCUAACGCAUUAAGUUCCCCGCCUGGGGAGUACGGCCGCAAGGCUAAAACUCAAAGGAAUUGACGGGGGCCCGCACAAGCAGCGGAGCAUGUGGCUUAAUUCGACGCAACGCGAAGAACCUUACCAAGGCUUGACAUACACCGGAAAGCAUUAGAGAUAGUGCCCCCCUUGUGGUCGGUGUACAGGUGGUGCAUGGCUGUCGUCAGCUCGUGUCGUGAGAUGUUGGGUUAAGUCCCGCAACGAGCGCAACCCUUGUUCUGUGUUGCCAGCAUGCCCUUCGGGGUGAUGGGGACUCACAGGAGACUGCCGGGGUCAACUCGGAGGAAGGUGGGGACGACGUCAAGUCAUCAUGCCCCUUAUGUCUUGGGCUGCACACGUGCUACAAUGGCAGGUACAAAGAGCUGCGAAGCCGCGAGGCGGAGCGAAUCUCAAAAAGCCUGUCUCAGUUCGGAUUGGGGUCUGCAACUCGACCCCAUGAAGUCGGAGUUGCUAGUAAUCGCAGAUCAGCAUUGCUGCGGUGAAUACGUUCCCGGGCCUUGUACACACCGCCCGUCACGUCACGAAAGUCGGUAACACCCGAAGCCGGUGGCCCAACCCCUUGUGGGAGGGAGCUGUCGAAGGUGGGACUGGCGAUUGCCACUAAGUCGUACUCAAGGUAGCAGUACUCUCAAUACA